UACGUAGGGGGCGAGCGUUGUCCGGAUUUAUUGGGCGUAAAGAGCGUGUAGGCGGCCAGGUAGGUCGGUUGUGAAAACUGGAGGCUCAACCUUCAGAGGUCGACCGAAACCAUCUGGCUAGAGUCCGGAAGAGGCGAGUGGAACUCCUGGUGUAGCGGUGGAAUGCGCAGAUAUCAGGAAGAACACCAACGGCGAAGGCAGCUCGCUAGGACGGUACUGACGCUGAGACGCGAAAGCGUGGGGAGCGAACAGG
rnacentral:rRNA from 1 species